UACAGAGGGUGCGAGCGUUAAUCGGAGUUACUGGGCGUAAAGGGCGCGUAGGCGGUGAGAUGAGUGUGAUGUGAAAGCCCCGGGCUUAACCUGGGAAGUGCAUCGCAAACGAUCUGACUGGAGUACUAGAGAGGGUGGCGGAAUUUCCGGUGUAGCGGUGAAAUGCGUAGAGAUCGGAAGGAACGUCGAUGGCGAAGGCAGCCACCUGGCUAGAUACUGACGCUGAGGCGCGAAAGCGUGGGGAGCGAACAGG
rnacentral:rRNA from 1 species